UACAUCAUCUGGACUAGUCUGAGUCUCGGUGUGUCACGCCUGCAGAGGGAUGCAGCACAUCUUCUAUGGGAGCCUGGAAGAAAACUACUUCUGUACAACAAUCAGCCAAACACGUAGCUGGAUAAACGUUCUAUUCAUGCUGUUUAUACAUUUUAUGGUAAAGUAAUAAAGCAACCAUGUCAGUUCAUCCUGAUGUAAGUUAUGUAUAAACAGAACUGUAUUCCUGCGUUUACUGAACACAUCAUCUGCAGCUUCUGCACAGACCAGAGGUUCCUGCUAAAAUGACCAGAACUUGAAACGUGUCUGGUUUCUUCAGAGCCGAGUGCAGGGCUGCAUCCUGGAUAAAAAGCACAUCUUGCUCUUGUUGAGCUUUUAAUACCUUUUUGUCUGUGUGGGAAGUGUUUGCAAGAAGUUGCAAAUGGAUUUCUGAUUUGGGAAAUAACAUGCUUGUCCACUGGCUUGGAGAUGGGAGUGUGGGUGUAGUUCAUGCACAGUGCAGCCUGGCUCAGCUGUGGGCGGUAAGAGGACAAACACAGGGAGGAAGGGAUGAGGGGUCAGUUUCAGGAAGCAGAGAAGUUACAGAAAGAUGAUUUAUAUGAUGAAAUUUAAACAUUUCUGUCCCUUGUGUCUGAAGCAAACAUCUACAGGAAUCAUGUCCAGAAAAGAUGGCUGAAUGAUUGAAACCCAUGUGGAGAGGUUGUUCAAGUAUGCCCAGAGAAUAACAAACCAUGGAAGCAGAUGUGUUGAAGGCCACCACACUGGCUGAGCCAAUGCGGUGUUGGUAAUAAAUCUAGAUGUCAGAAUAAACUAUAAAACACCAAACGUCAUGCAUGUUUAGGACAAGAGUGAGAGAAACAUCUUCGUAACGAUCAGAUAGGAGCUGAUCCAUCCUGGACAGAAGAGGCUGCCUCAGGAUCCUGGAGAUGAUUUACAAGGCAGAAUGUGACAUGUUUUUAAGACCACUCACACCUGUGUCACACUGAAGCUCUACUAUCAACACCUAACAAUCCUAACAUAACUGAUGACAGGAGGACACACUCAGAUCAGGGACACACACUCCACUCUGUAGAAAACACUGGAUUCUUAGGGUUUCACAGAAGGCACAUAAAAGCAAAUGCACCUACUCAGUAUUGUGCAUUACAGUAACAUGAAUCCCAAGCCCCCACAAUGCGGGUCUGAAAGUGAGGCAAAUGUGGAAGUGAAAUAAAUUGCAGUUCCACCCUCAUCCACUAGGGGCUGGUGUCAGAAGCGAGCAAAUCCUCAUUGACUCCCAUGUUAAAAAUACCAAUUUCACAGCAGAAAUAAACAUGUUUACAGCCUGGUACCAGAACAUGUUUUUGGUUUAAAUGAUCUAGUUUACACUCAUGACAACUCUGAGGGGGGUGAAUGUUUUUCUCACUCUUCUGUUUAAGUGUAUUAAAAGCCUAAAAUUCUGUAUAAUUAAUGAGCAUCAGACCCACAUGACCACAGAGCUAGCUCCGUGGAAAGGCCUCAGUAGAGCCUCGGUCUGGCCUGGAAACUGCUCCGGGAUUUUGAGUCUCUGUGUUUGUGUAUUCUUGUUUGGAUAUUAUUUGUGCAAUUGUUGGACAAAAUGACUUGCUGUGGCAUUAAUUGCACUAAUAGAGCGCCCAAGGAGUCUCCACUUCAUUUUUUUCGGUAAGUUAAAUUAUAUUCAUGUAUUUUAGGUCACUGCCGCCGUUUUACUAGCUGAGUUUAUCAAAGCAGCUAGCUAACUACCAUUUUAACAUGUACUGUUUAACCAUGAAAUUUAGAUGUAAUAUACAGUAAAAUAAUUAAUAGGGUAUACGUCGAUGGGUAAAACCCAGUGCAUUUAACAUAGAAAUGGGUUGAAAUAUGACAUGUUGGGGGAGCUCUCGGAGGGAGACUUCUGUGUUCCAUCCUUCCACCCGGUUCUCCCCAGCGGUCAGCCCGGCGCAUCUCUGACCGCUUCGGCGCCUGGCUGCUGCGCGGGCUGACUGCUUGUGGAGCUCUCGGACUCGGAGAGAGACCUGACCACAGAAAUACUGCAGCUCGAUGAGUUGGUUGAUAGUGCUUGAUGUUGGUCUCCAGAAGUCUAUGCCAUCAGAUAAACUCGCUCGUUUUUUAAUUUUUUGCAUAUUUGUAAAAUCGUGGUGGUGGGAAGCGACUAAAUAACUAAUUUGUCCACAAAGAGCCGCGACCGGGUGCCCUGUUCUCAUGGGAACUAGUGCAGUUUAAUCAAAUGGAAGUUAAUUAAUAAAAUUGAUUAUUAAAAGGUUCAUAUCCUAUCCAAUAAGGCGAUAGACUCAAGUGUUUGGUUUUAUUUUGUUUUUUUAUAAAGUAUGCAUUUUGUAUUACUCUUUAUCCUAAUUUUAGACCUUUUACUACAGGACAUGAUAAGCUAUUAAGUAUUUUAAACCCACAUGCUUAAGUAGUUAUUUGUAUGAAAUUUUCCUCUAGGUGAUCCAGAGAGGCUUGACCUUUGGGUAAGCAACCAAAGAAGAGAGUGCUGGACUCCCAGUUUACACUCCUGCUUGUGCAGUGAACACUUUGAGAGUCAUCACUUCACCACGGACUCCAGGGUACAAACACAUUUCUUCAUAUUUUGGUUAAGAUUGAAACAAUUGAAGCAUUAGCUGUAUAAUAUACAGAUGUUACAUUGCUGUGUAACUAGAAAACAAUUCCCCCUCCCUUGAACUGUCUGUGACCGGGGAUGCUUGGAUGGGGAAACAAUCACGUUAUUAAUUUCCAUCUAAUUCUAUGGAUAUUUAUUCUGAUAAACAAUUUUUUUAGUCAGUCUUUAAUGUGUGACUUUUAUGUAUUGGUAUGAAUGAAAAAUAUUCAUUUUAAACUAAAACGUUUGGCAUUUAAGGAGAAAUGAACAAAAUAAACAUUCUACUGGUGUCAAAGGUCAAUGGUGUCUUGAGACGUGGCUGCAGGACCAUAUCCCCGAUUCCAGCGUCUCUCUGCCAGGAUUCCUGACUGUACUAGCAGACAGAGAUCUGAAGAGGAGCGGGAAAAGAAAAGGAGGUGGAGUGGCAGUGCUUGUCAACAACAGAUGGUGCCAUCCAGGUCAUGUUUCAGUGAAAUGUCGUCUCUGCAGCCCAGAUGUUGAACUCUUGGUAGUAAGUUGUCGCCCAUAUUAUUUGCCAAGAGAGUUCACCAGUGUUGUCUUGGCAACCGUUUAUAUUCCACCUUCAGCCAUUGCUGAAAAUGCAUGUGAUGCCAUCAGUUCCGUUGUCGCUAAGCUACAAACCCAGCCCCCCAAUGCAUUUGUGGCUAUAUCUGGUGAUUUUCAUCAUGCCUCACUCUCUGCUACACUUCCAACAUUUCAACAGUUUGUCAGCUGCUCCACCAGAGAAAACAAGACAUUGGAUCUGUGUUAUGCAAAUGUAAAGAAUGCAUACAUGUCCAAAACAAGACCUCCUCUGGGACAAUCAGAUCACAAUCUUGUUUUUCUCUGCUCGGAAUACAAACCACUUGUUCAGAGGCAACCUGUGACAAGAAGAACUGCGAGAAAAUGGUCACAGGACGCUGAAGAAGCCCUGCAGAGUUGUUUUGAGACCACAGAUUGGAUGACUCUCUGCCACGGACAUGAAGAGGACAUCAAUGCCAUGACUGGAUGUGUCACUGAUUAUAUAAACUUCUGUGUGGACAACAUCAUACACACCAGAACAGUGAGAUGCUUCGCUAAUAACAAACCCUGGAUCACCAGUGAACUGAAGAAUCUGCUAAAUGAGAAAAAAAGAGCCUUCAAGGAGGGAGACAGGGAAUUAUUGAGGAGUAUACAGAAGCAACUGAAGAUCAAGAUCAGAGACAGCAAGGAGGCAUACAGGAAGAAGCUGGAGAACAACCUACAGAGGAACAAUAUCAGAGAUGUCUGGUCAGGGAUGAAGAAGAUCACAGGCUUCAAGCAGAGGAAGGAUUGCACAGAUGGCAGCCUGGACACAGCCAAUGAACUGAACAAGUUCUUCAAUAAUGUUCAGUUCAGGAACAAACCCAGCGUGUCCUCCUCGCCUGUCCCCAGCCAAUCAGACGACCCAUCCUCCUCUGAUCCAACAUUUUCCUGUCACACGCCAGCUCUUUUGUCCUCUAACGCAGUCAUGGACUCUUCUGGUUCUAUAAAUCCGUCUUCAACCAAGUCAGGAGAUGCUGCUGCCCCAUUUACCUCCCCCUCACACCUAUUUGUCACUAGAAGUCAGGUGAAGAGGCAGCUGGAGAGACUGAACAGGAACAAGGCUGCAGGUCCAGAUGGUGUCAGCCCCAGAGUACUGAAGGCCUGUGCAGAGCAGCUCUGUGGGAUUCUGCAGCACCUCUUCAACCUCAGCCCGGCCCAGGAGAAGGUUCCAGUCCUGUGGAAGACAUCCUGCCUUGUUCCAGUUCCAAAGAAAACUCGUCCAUCAGUCAAUGACGACUACAGACCGGUUGCCCUGACAUCCCACAUCAUGAAGGUCCUGGAGAGACUCCUGUUGGUCCACCUGAAUAUGCAAACUAGAACAUAUCAGGACCCGCUGCAGUUUGCUUAUCGCCAUGGAGUUGGAGUUGAAGAUGCCAUCAUCCAGCUGCUUCAACCAACCCACUGUCAUCUGGACAAAUCAGGCAGCACUGUGAGGGUCAUGUUCUUUGAUUUCUCCAGUGCAUUUAACACAAUCCAGCCUGAUGCACUUUGCCAGAAACUCCAGAAGACACAGGUGGGGGCCUCAACUAUCGCCUGGAUUAAAGACUACCUGACAAACAGACCACAGUUUGUGAGGCUGAAGAACUGCACAUCAAACCAGGUGAUCAUUAACACUGGAGCACCACAGGGGACUGUACUCUCACCAUUCCUUUUCACCCUGUACACCUCAGACUUCCAGUACAAGUCAGAGACCUGUCAUCUACAGAAAUACUCAGAUGACUCUGCAGUUGUCGGGUGUAUCAGAGAUGGACAGGAAGCUGAGUACAGAGAGCUGGUGGAGCGCUUUGUGGCAUGGUGUGGAAACAAUCAUCUGACCUUGAACGUGAACAAAACAAAGGAGAUGAUUGUAGACUUCAGAAGAAACAGGGUGGAGUCAAACACUGUUUCCAUCAUGGGAGAAGAAGUGGAGGUGGUCGAGGAAUAUAAAUACCUUGGAGUUCACCUGGACAACAGACUGGACUGGAGAAAGAACAGCCAAGCCGUUUACAAGAAGGGACACAGCAGACUGCACUUCUUGAGGACGCUUAGGUCCUUCAAUGUCUGUAGCAAGAUGCUGCAGAUCUUCUACAAGUCUGUUGUUGAGAGUGUAAUCUCUUCAGCCAUCGUCUGUUGGGGUAGCAGCAUCAGAAGCAGGGACCUGAAAAGGCUCAACAGCCUAAUAAAAAAGGCUGGUUCUGUUCUGGGGACGACUGUGGAACCGCUGGAGGAGAUCAUGCAAAGAAGGAUUCUCCAGAGAAUCAAGAAAAUGAUGGACAACCCUGAGCAUUCUCUUCACAAGACUGUCCGACAACGGAAGUGUCUUCAGUCAGAGGCUUCUUCAGUUUGGCUGCAACACUGACCGCUACUGGAGAUCCUUCCUGCCAACAGCCGUUGUAAUAUACAACAACUCUUUGAUGACUUGAUUAUUAUUAUUAUCCUGAGCUACUACAGCAAUCAGUUUCCCUCUGGGAUUAAUAAAGUAUUUUUGAAUUGAAUUGAAAUAAAUCAAACUGUAAUUAAAAUAUAAAUUUUCAAAGUCUGGAUUCUGGAUUAAAUCUAACAAUAUAUGCUCUCUUUUUUUAAUUUUUAUUUUUUAUUUUAGGGGAGACUUUGCCUGAAGGACACAGCUGUACCUACAAUCUUCUCUUCCUUUAAGGCAGGGGCGGAUUUAGGACUGAAGAAGAUCCGGGGCUUAACACACACACACGCGCAUGCACACACACACACACGCACACGCACUAGUCAACAGAUAUAUUUGUCUUGUACCACAUAAUGUUUAAUCUGAAGCUACAUAUUAAGCAUAUUCAGGGCAGAGUAUUGUUCCUGUUAGUGUUUAGUGUGAGAUGAUAGUAAAUAUUUCCUUUCUUUCUCCAACAACAUUACCUGAUAGUAAGCUAACUUUAGGCUAACCAGCAGCACAACAAAUAUUUUCAAAUAAGACUCACAAACCUGAGUCAGCACCAGUCUCAUCAAAGCUGGGGUUCUGUCGCCGUACUUUUGGUCUAAAAAACGUCCUUAUGUCCAUCUUCACUCAUGCGUUUCAGGCAGAGAGUGUAGAAGAAGCCGGCUGCUGAAGGGCUUCUUCUUCAGUGGUGGAGGCUCAGGCAGGCUGUAUACAAACUACUGCUAGCUGCUCCCUCUCUGUUGGACUUUGGUACUGCAUGUUACUUCCACGUUUGAGAUCCGGGGCUUUUCAUUAAAGAUUCGGGGCUUCAGCCCAAGUAGCCGGGCCUAACGCCGCCCCUGCUUUAAGGUAAAAAAAAAAAAACAUCUUCCAAGAAGGAAAGUACAGGUAAGUAGGAAUGACAAGGUAAGUGACAACUCCGCUGGUUUUGUAAAUAGUUUUGAGAAGGUUGCAGAUGUAGAAGCAGGGGAAGACAGUACCAUAAAAGUUGCUGUUGAUCUGAGCAAUGUAACGAUGUGUGAAGACUCACCUCAAGAGGUCUUUGUUACUCUAACACAUGAUGACAUUCCUCUGCAAGCAGUUGAGUGUGAUACUGCUCAUUUUGGUCACAGUGUUCAACACCAGAAUGACUCAGACUCUGGUCAGUUUAACGCUGUGCCAUUACAGCCAAACAGCAUCCUGAGUGACCAUUGCUAUCAGAUCACAGAGUCUCCCAAAACGCUUAAAAGGAGAGUUCUGUCAGCAAAUGAAAAGGCACGUGUAGCUCAGUAAAAGCUCAGAUUGCAAUCCCAGAAGACAAGGUGACUGAAGGAAAGAAUUUCUUCUUUGAAAAGUGUCAUCAAAAUUCCUCAGAAGACACUUCUAAUACAAUUCAACUGAAUGUGCCUCUCUUCUUGAUGGUUUGGAUGGUGUUCCAAAAGAGUUGUUUCAGAAAAUGAAUCAGAAGAAAAGAUCAUCUUUUUCUGAGAACUUGAAGCAAUUUGCAGCUACACUGCUUUUUUGCUCUCCUAAGGCUUAUGAGGAUGCUAGAGAACACUUUCACUUGGCUUUGCCUCAUCCAGAGACCAUUCACAACUGGUACAGCAGUAUCUCUGCAGAUCCUGGUUUUACUCUUUCUUCAUUUACAGCUUUAAAAAGUCAUGUUCUUGAGAAGAAGAAGGAAGGAAAAGAAACUGUUUGCUCUUUGAUGUUAGAUGAAAUGUACAUUCAUGAGCAAACUGAGUCUGAUGGGAACCAGAUUCAUGGCUAUGUUGACAUUGGAGCUAGUGAGAUUGAAAAUGUUGUUGCAACACAAGCAUUGGUCAUCAUGGUUGUUGCCAUCAACUAGUCUUGGAAGCUCCCGAUUGCCUACUUUCUUAUCAACAGCAUGAAUGGGAAAGAAAGAGCUAGCCUCAUUCAAGAGAGUCUGUAUAGGCUUCAUGACAUCGGAGUUAGGGUUGUAUCCUUGACAUGUGAUGGCCCCUCCCAAAACAUGGCCAUGAUCAGGGAGCUUGGUGCCAAUCUGGACAUAAUGGACAUGAGAUCAUACUUUGUCCAUCCAGCAGAUCACACACAGAAAAUCCAUGUUCUCUUGGACCCAUGUCACAUGCUCAAGUUUCUUCGCAAUGUCUUUUCAACUGUUAAAGUUAUUGUUAGGGAAGAUGGCCAGCUGAUACGUCGGCAGUACAUUGAGGAGUUGCACAAGCUUCAGGAGAGGGAAGGCUUGCGUCUUGGCAACAAACUCAAAAUGGCUCACAUUCAGUGGCAAAAUCAAAAAAUGAAGGUUCAUCUUGCGGCCCAAAUCUUUAGCAGCAGCGUGGCUGCUGCUCUUGAGUACUGCGAGCAACAACUGAGGUAUCCACAGUUUAGUGGAUGUGCAGCCACAGUUGAUUUCCUGCGCACAGUUGAUGCUGCUUUUGAUGUCCUAAAUAGCCGCAAUCCACUUGGAAAAUGAUACAAAGCACCCAUCACACCAAAAACUAAAGAAUGUGUCAUGGUCACUUUAAAAGAAACAGAGUCUCUCCUCAGAGGGCUCAAAAUCAUAGGGAAAGACAACAGAGUGGUACAUGUGCAUUCCACACAGAAAAGGACACCCAUCUAUGGUUUCAUCACCUGCUUCAGAAGUGUGAUCGGCAUCUAUGAAGACCUUGUAGAGCAUCCAGCUACUCUUUGUCGAUAUCUUCUGACUUACAAACUCAGUCAGGACCACUCGGAGCUGUUCUUCUCUGCAAUCAGAGCACGUGGUGGUCACAACAACAACCCCAAUGUGAGGCAGUUCAGAGGGGCAUACAAGCAUCUUCUUGUAAGGCACCAGGUUAAAAGGGUACAGGUAACUGUCUUCUUUGUGACAACACAGCCAUCCUUGACUCUACACCAGCAACUGUGAACAUUGCACGCAGGUUGGAUGUGGUGCCUGUAGAGGCACUUGUACUUGACGAUGACUCCAUCAUUGAUCUUCCAGAUGUCAACAACCUGUCGGAGUACAAGGAAGCAGCGAUUUCUUACAUCACUGGUUUCAUUGUCAAAAAGUUGAAGCAGAAGAUUACAUGCAUGCCUUGCUCACAGGCACUGACAUCGGAUGAAUCAGUGCAUCCACUCUUGGCAUUGAAGGACAGAGGUGGAUUACAGAAACCAUCACAAGGCAUCACUGCAGUUUGCCAUGCAACAGAAAGAUGCUUCCAGUGGAUUCUUAAAGCCGAUGAAGGAAAGGCUCCACGUGGAAGAGGAACAACAGCAGCCAUUGUUGCCCAGGUUGUCACUGACUGCUCAGAGAAAAAUCUCUUCCCGCAGCUGCACAGCCACAUGUUUGACGUGUGUACUGAAAGUAAUCAUGUCCAUGUUCUUGUAAAGAUGGCUUCUGUGUGGUACUACAAAAUUAGAUUAAAUCAUGUAGCACAGCAGGAGACGGACCGGAUAAAAGAAGGAAAAACUGUCAGCAAGAAGCUCACUAAAUAAAUCCAUUUUUAUGGAGAUUAGAGAAAAGCUGUCCUCGUCAUAUCUUUUAGUCUGUCUGUACAUUUUGUUAUGUGCUUGUCAGAAGUUGUGACCAUGAACAUUUUUCUGAUAUUUGCUGACAGAACAUAAAUAUGAAGAGUCUUACUUUCAUCGGACAUCCAACACAUUAGCUAUGUGGGGAGGGAUAUGUCUAUCCUGUUUGCCUGAAAAUAAACCGGUCCUAAAGGCCAAAUUCAAAAGCAGCGAGACUCCCACCUGGAAGUCUUUCACUGCUUUUGGAGCUGGCCUUUAAGACAGUCGGCAAUAUUAGUUAAAAAAAUAUCAUUUCCCCUAUUAGUGAAAUAAACUUUGUCUGACAAAAAUGUCCCUGGACUGUCAUGUCUGAUGUGAGGAUGCACAACAAUUAAGCUAGAAAUAAAUGUGGCCAUAACACUGUUGACAAACCUCCAGGCCUUCUCAAUUUUAGGAGGUUCUACACCUGCCCUCCAUCUACACCUUUGGGUGAUGGAUGACAUGAUGGUCAUAUGAGGGUGGAGAAGUGGAUGAUGAGGACACCAGGAGCUGCUCUUCCAUGGAGGGAGUGGAACAAGAAGGGGAGAAGGUCUUUCCACCUCAGUCCGCCCCAACCGAACCAGGAGACACAGACGUCAGGGAGGCCAAGGUUGUCUCCAAGGGUCUCUGCAGCCCUCUGGGCACCACGCCUCACUCAGCUGUCACCAAUGAUACAAAUGGCUAUGGAGGAAAAAAUAACAGAUCACACGGAUUGGCCUGAUUGUUCACAAAACCAAGAGGCAGGAUUUCCAGGUUCUGGCAGGCUCAGCAGGGUUUCUAAUGGCCGCCUAUUGUGUUG